UAUUCUCGUGUGAAUCGUUUACGAGGAAAUUCUGACAGCCACACUUCUGUCGACCAUGUCGACGGAUGUUUAUGUUUCCAUUGAUCAGCCGUUGAUAAGCUACGAGUAAUAAAGGGGAAAAGAUGGACAUUAAAGUGUGUGAUCUAUGUGGAUGUUACUGAAGAAGCUCAAAACGGACUCUUGUUCCGACAUGGCACCACAUUGCUUUUACCUGUUGAUUCUUGUGGGUCAGCUCUUGAGAUUAACCUGUCACCUCUAUCCACAUGCAUAUUGCUUGUGUUCUACAGACUUUUUACCGGUAAUUCAAAUUAAAUCGGAUAAUGCAUGAACAAUAAUGGAACUUUAUGAAAGCAUCAUCCCAUGUUGUGGUUUGUGUUUGAUAAGAAAUUAUGAAAAACAAAAUUAAGGCUAUUUAAAGAAAUUCAUAAUUGUUGUGAAAAUUUGUUUUUCAAUAAAAGUAUGCAAUUAUG